GAGAGAGGAAGGACGGCCGCCGGGCCUUUGGCCUGAGGAAAGUCUCCCCACCAUCUAAACACACGAGUGCCUGUAAAGGGCACCGGGCGAGAGUCCGGGCAGUUGCAAUGCAACUCAUGCAGAUCCUGCAUGCUGGCACAGAAACGAUACCGCGCCAUGUUAAUGCUGUGAUGCCGGAAGGUUGAGGUCGCAUGGAAUGUGGAUGGAACGGCGAAUCCUCGUGGGUGCAAGUCGGGAGGGGUAAAUGGGUGUUUAGACCAUCCCUCGGUAUAUGACGCUUAGCCGAAUGCCGUCAAUGCAGCUUGCAAGAGCGCAUUAUCCUGCCAGGCGGGUUAAUGUAUUGCAUCAACAGAAGGGAGCUUAUUCUCCUCACUC
rnacentral:RNase_P_RNA from 2 species